GCACCGGUUUAGCUCAAUGGUUACUUCUUACCUUGAAGUUUCAACCCAACGGACCGCGGGCUGAAGGGUUCAACCAUGGGCGCUGUCUGGUGUUUUU